rnacentral:sRNA from 1 species
CUUCAGCAACUCUAAGCAGCCUCCCCCAGGAAAAACUGAUCCUGCUACAGCUCCACCAUGAAGUUCUUCAUGGUCCUGCUGCUGGCCAGCCUAGCCUCCACCUCUCUCGCCAACCUAAUCCCUAGCGCCAAUGAUGUCUUGAGGCCCUAAUGACGAGGGUGCCUGAAUUCCAGGCUGGGCUGUGGGAGAGGCCGUAUCCCAAACCCAUCUUUCAGCUCCUCAAUUUCGUGCGUU